GUAACGUGGGAUAUUGUGUGAAGGUG
rnacentral:piRNA from 1 species